AUUGAACGCUGGCGGCAGGCCUAACACAUGCAAGUCGAGCGGCAGCGGAAGGAAGCUUGCUCCCUUGCCGGCGAGCGGCGGACGGGUGAGUAAGGUAUGGGGAUCUGGCCGAAGGCGGGGGAUAACCACUGGAAACGGUGGCUAAUACCGCAUAAUCUCUAAGGAGCAAAGUGGGGGACCGUUCAGGCCUCACACCUUCGGAUGAACCCAUAUGAGAUUAGCUAGUAGGGGGGGUAAUGGCUCACCUAGGCGACGAUCUCUAGCUGGCCUGAGAGGAUGACCAGCCACACUGGGACUGAGACACGGCCCAGACUCCUACGGGAGGCAGCAGUGGGGAAUAUUGCACAAUGGGCGCAAGCCUGAUGCAGCCAUGCCGCGUGUAUGGAGAAGGCCUUCGGGUUGUAAAGUACUUUCAGUCGUGAGGAAGGUGUUAAGGUUAAUAACCUUAGCAAUUGACGUUAGCGACAGAAGAAGCACCGGCUAACUCCGUGCCAGCCGCCGCAGUAA
rnacentral:rRNA from 1 species